rnacentral:rRNA from 1 species
CCUACGGGAGGCAGCAGUAGGGAAUCUUCCACAAUGGGCGAAAGCCUGAUGGAGCAACGCCGCGUGGGUGAAGAAGGUCUUCGGAUCGUAAAACCCUGUUGUUAGAGAAGAAAGUGCGUGAGAGUAACUGUUCACGUUUCGACGGUAUCUAACCAGAAAGCCACGGCUAACUACGUGCCAGCAGCCGCGGUAAUACGUAGGUGGCAAGCGUUAUCCGGAUUUAUUGGGCGUAAAGGGAACGCAGGCGGUCUUUUAAGUCUGAUGUGAAAGCCUUCGGCUUAACCGGAGUAGUGCAUUGGAAACUGGGAGACGUGAGUGCAGAAGAGGAGAGUGGAACUCCAUGUGUAGCGGUGAAAUGCGUAGAUAUAUGGAAGAACACCAGUGGCGAAAGCGGCUCUCUGGUCUGUAACUGACGCUGAUGCUCGAAAGCGCGGGUAUCGAACAGGAUUAGAUACCCGAGUAGUC